rnacentral:rRNA from 1 species
AACGAACGCUGGCGGCAUGCCUAACACAUGCAAGUCGAACGAGAUCUUCGGGUCUAGUGGCGCACGGGUGCGUAACGCGUGGGAAUCUGCCCUUUGGUUCGGAAUAACAGUUGGAAACGACUGCUAAUACCGGAUGAUGACGAAAGUCCAAAGAUUUAUCGCCAGAGGAUGAGCCCGCGUAGGAUUAGCUAGUUAGUGUGGUAAAGGCGCACCAAGGCGACGAUCCUUAGCUGGUCUGAGAGGAUGAUCAGCCACACUGGGACUGAGACACGGCCCAGACUCCUACGGGAGGCAGCAGUGGGGAAUAUUGGACAAUGGGCGAAAGCCUGAUCCAGCAAUGCCGCGUGAGUGAUGAAGGCCUUAGGGUUGUAAGGCUCUUUUACCCGGGAUGAUAAUGACAGUACCGGGAGAAUAAGCUCCGGCUAACUCCGUGCCAGCCGCCGCGGUAA